ensembl:lncRNA
AAGGUCAGAACUGAAAUGAGAGUAUUUUGUUUUGUAUAGGUUGAUACCAGCUCCUAGAAGUGUCACUUAAUUGGCCACUGUUGAUGGUAUGGAUAAUGAAUCAAUGGCAUUGCUACAACAGUGGAGAGCAGCAGGUCCAUUACAUGGUGGAUCCCGCAAAAGUCCUUCUGUAUAAAACAAGCAAAUGAAAUGCAGACUUCUGCUGUUGCACCAUAUGGGUACCCUUAUAAUGUAACAGAAAAUAUUUUGACAGUCACAGAUUACUUCCAUUGGAAAAGCAGCGCUUGAUCCAAGCUAAGACUUUAGCUCAGAACUAAACUCCUCUAGAUAGGAAGAAACUAAGCCAAAUGUAAAGGACAGCAGCAAAAUUCAGUAAAUUACACAAGGUAAGAAUUAAAGGAAUUGUUAUAUUUUUAUGAUUUUGUUUCUUAAU